AUUUAUAUAGUCUAAAUAAGACGUUACAUUUUCAUUGUAAAAUUAGAUUAUAAUAUCUUAUAAAUU
rnacentral:tRNA from 1 species